GAUGAACGCUGGCGGCGUGCCUAAUACAUGCAAGUCGAGCGAACGGACGAGAAGCUUGCUUCUCUGAUGUUAGCGGCGGACGGGUGAGUAACACGUGGAUAACCUACCUAUAAGACUGGGAUAACUUCGGGAAACCGGAGCUAAUACCGGAUAAUAUUUUGAACCGCAUGGUUCAAAAGUGAAAGACGGUCUUGCUGUCACUUAUAGAUGGAUCCGCGCUGCAUUAGCUAGUUGGUAAGGUAACGGCUUACCAAGGCAACGAUGCAUAGCCGACCUGAGAGGGUGAUCGGCCACACUGGACCUGAGACACGGUCCAGACUCCUACGGGAGGCAGCAGUAGGGAAUCUUCAGCAAUGGGCGAAAGCCUGACGGAGCAACGCCGCGUGAGUGAUGAAGGUCUUCGGAUCGUAAAACUCUGUUAUUAGGGAAGAACAUAUGUGUAAGUAACUGUGCACAUCUGGACGGUACCUAAUCAGAAAACCACGGCUAACUACGU
rnacentral:rRNA from 1 species